rnacentral:rRNA from 1 species
CAAUGGGCGCAAGCCUGAUGCAGCGACGCCGCGUGAGGGAUGGAGGCCUUCGGGUUGUAAACCUCUUUUAUCGGGGAGCAAGCGUGAGUGAGUUUACCCGUUGAAUAAGCACCGGCUAACUACGUGCCAGCAGCCGCGGUAAUACGUAGGGUGCAAGCGUUAUCCGGAAUUAUUGGGCGUAAAGGGCUCGUAGGCGGUUCGUCGCGUCCGGUGUGAAAGUCCAUCGCUUAACGGUGGAUCCGCGCCGGGUACGGGCGGGCUUGAGUGCGGUAGGGGAGACUGGAAUUCCCGGUGUAACGGUGGAAUGUGUAGAUAUCGGGAAGAACACCAAUGGCGAAGGCAGGUCUCUGAGCCGUUACUGACGCUGAGGAGCGAAAGCGUGGGGAGCGAACAGGAUUAGAUACCCUGGUAGUCCACGCCGUAAACGGUGGAUGCUGGAUGUGGGGCCCGUUCCACGGGUUCCGUGUCGGAGCUAACGCGUUAAGCAUCCCGCCUGGGGAGUACGGCCGCAAGGCUAAAACUCAAAGAAAUUGACGGGGGCCCGCACAAGCGGCGGAGCAUGCGGAUUAAUUCGAUGCAACGCGAAGAACCUUACCUGGGCUUGACAUGUUCCCGACGGUCGUAGAGAUACGGCUUCCCUUCGGGGCGGGGUUCACAGGU